ACAAAAAUGAGGUCAACAUAAACCAUGGCCUGGUUUCAAUGGAGGGAGGCUAGAUAUCUGAUCCGUUCAUGGGAGGAGUUUAAGGAUUGCUUGUUGGAACUUUUCUGAGCCAUUUAGAAAGGAGACCUAUAUGAGCAAUUUUUUGCCUUGACUCUAUGGCUCAUCGUACUUACUUUUGGGUUGUCACAUUAUCCAACAAAGACUUAUAAAGACAUUAAUAGGUCGUAACAAGAUGCCACAAAUUAUGAGUAAAAAAGACUAAAACAAAGAUGGAUAAUAAGGAUCUCUUAGUGAUAUAGAUGAGAUCUUAGAAGAAAAUAAUUGCACAAGAUUUAUGGCUUAAACACUUACCAUAUGAUUGUGAUGCAUUAAGAGUGUAUAGUGUCAAGCAGGAGACCGUCAUGGAGUACAGGGAGAGAUUUGAGUUGCUAUCAAAGCAGUUAAGGGGAGUAUCAGAGGCGGUGCUGAAGAAAAUUUUCAUGAAGGGCCUCAAACCCAACGUAUGAGCGGACCUUUGAUUAAUGAGACUGAGUGGUUGAAGGAGACGAUAAACUUAGUCCAGAGAGUUGAGGAUCAAAAAUAGAUGGAGAGGGCUUGGUAAGAGUGGAGUAGUGGGAGGCUCUUACAGAAGUACCUCGACUGCACUGACACCAAGAACCUAGAUGAUGUCUUUUCAAUGGAACAUAGUUCACAUCCUUCCACCUUGAAGACAAGGUAAUUUUUUGUGUGGAAGUAUUAAUAUGCUAGGGGGGCUGACCGUCUGGGAUUCAUGGGAGUUAAUAUUUCAUAUGUAAAGAGGAUAAAAUGGGGGAGGAAUAAUUAAAAAAGUUUAUUUAGGGAAAGAUGGUUGAUUUGAAUUUAGAUUAGGGAAGGAAAUUAGGAAAUUUUUAUUUAAGAAAAGAGGACUGAUUUAAAUUCAGAUUUGGGAGGGAAUUAGGAAGAUUUUAUUCAGAGAAAGAGGGAUAAUUUGAAUUUAUAUUUGAGAGAAAAUUAGGAAUGUUUUAUUAAAGGAAAGAGGGCUGAUUUGAAUUCAUAUUUGGGAGGGAAAUGUGAUAGUUUAUUUAUGGUAAUUAGUUUAUUUUAUUUUCAUUAUGUUAUUGUGUUUGUUGUUGUUUUUCUUAGGAGUUGUUCCUAGCAGCGUCUAGGGUUUGUGGCAGAGCCAAAUAGUAGAUCACUUGUAUAUUUCUUUUUUAUUGAAGAGAUAAUAGAAAAUCAGCCAUUGUCUUCGUGUUCUAGCAAUUUUCUUCCUGACUAUUUGUUGUUUUUAUUUCCAGGACGCAUUAGAGAAAUCAUAUAUUUGAAGAGAAUGAUCCUAGGCAUGAGGAGAGAGAAGUUCAGAUGAAGCUACUGGAAGAAAAAGUUUAGUUUAGGAAAGGCUGGCUAAGUAUAGAAAGCGAAAAAAGGGUUUAAUCUUCUUUAUGGUAGAUGAUUUGUGCAUGAGCUACAAGCCUAGAGCCGAGCAAUGAGAUCUCUAGAGAACCAAGUGGUGAGCACUUGAAGGGAAAACAGCUUCAAUGUUUCCCGUCUACUUUAUGUGGGGGAUUGUUGACCCAUCUUUGGUAGUCUUUUCCUAUGUGAAUGAUGUGAGCUUUCCUUAGUGUCAUUACUUAAGGCAUGAAUGAAAGGAUAAUAUGUUGAUGUAAAAUAGAUUAUUUUCAUUCUUCUUGAUUUCCUUAUAUUAACAUUAAUAAUUAUUAAUUCUUGUAUAUGUGUGAAUGUAAUGAUAAUGCUAAUGUGAUAUGCCAUAAAAGUGAAAGUAUGAGUAUUGUGUAGACCUUCGAGGGAUAAUGUUGACGCUACAUAAUCUUGGACAUUGAUUACUUGUCGAUCAUGUGUGAUCCUUAACCCUAAUAUUUAUUUUCGAUGCUCUGUGAUCCGUAACAUUAUUGCUUGUUGGUAUUGUUUGAUACCAUAUAUAUUGCCAGUGAUGUUGUGUGAUCUUUGUUGGGUGGUGAUGAAGUAAAAGAAAUAUAUUUAUAUACUCAGUUAAAUGAUGACCAACUUGUAUGUGUACUUGUGUAGGAGUCUCUUACUAAUUGUGUAUGUAAUUGACCCGGUAGCCUGUUGAUGGUUCAAGUCGUUCGAUUGAUUGCUAGGAGCCUACCUUUAUUUAUUUUGUUAGCUUUUACUCAUGAAUCUAUUAAUAUUGCAUCAAGCAUUCUCCAAUGAGUUUUCUCAUUCUUUGUUUUUAUUUUACAUCCCAAGUAAUUUUACUAUCUUUUCAAACUUUAAGGGAAAUUUUUAUAAGUUGGUGAUGAGACCUAUAAUGCAUUAUGGAGCAGAAUGUUUGCUAUUGAAAGAGAAGUAUAAAAUCAAGUUAAGUGUUGCAGAGGUGAGGAUGCUCAAGUGGAUGAGUGGCUUUAUAGUUAGAGACAAAAUACGAAAUGAGUAUGUACGUGGAAAGGUUGGAGUAGCUCCAGUGGCAGAUAAGAAUAGAGAUAGUCACCUUAGAUGAUUUGGUCAUAUAAAGUGUCAGCCUUUUGGUGAGCUGAUUAGGAGAGUAGAUGUUUCAGAUCCGGACUAUGUUAAGAAAAGUAAAGGUAGAGCUAAAAAGAUUUGGUUAGAUAGAAAUAUCAUUUGUUUAUUAGAUUGAAAUGACAAUUUACUCUUAAUAUGACACAAUGGAGAAAAAUGAUUCUUGUAGCUGACUCCACGUAGUGAGAUAAAUGUUUAAUGUUGUUGUUGUAUUCCAAGUGAUGGGUCUUGGUGGGGUGGGCGGAGACAAGUUUAAAGCCAAUCAGGUUUAGUUUGCUAGUCCGUAGUAGUUCAUUUCUUAUUUUUAGCUGCUAUCUAGUGGAUUGUGCUUUAUAAUAAUGAGCACUUUUAAAUGAAUUUGGGUUUACAACUUUUUAUGUGACUAUUCAACCUUAUUUAUAAUUUAUAAAUCAUUUUUUCUUCAUUUCCUAGCUAUUUUUUACUAAAUUCUCUUAUUUUUCUUUUUAAGUUGAAUGGGCUUUUUUACUUCAUUUUUGUCAACUAGGUUUCAUGUGUUGCUUGAGACUAUUCAUCUCAAUGGCCUUCUUGCUUCAGUUCUCGGUCUUAUAGUAGGUCAUGUUGACGUCAGCUUAACUAUGUGUUUUGUACACUAGUGCUGGAAAGAGAAUUUUACUUGGCUACCUAAUCAUGUUAACUUGGUUGAAUUUAUGCUAAUUGAGUUGGCCGAACAAGUUGUGGUUGACUCAAAGCAAUUCAGUUUGGCUUUGUUGAUGAGAUUUGGCUUGUGACAACUUUCGGUGUAAGAGCUGAUGCUUUAGGUUCUUAGGAGUGCGGGUAUGAUAGUCAAGAUGUGAUGCAUAUACAUAUUAAUUAUUAAUUACUAUGAGACUAGGUGCAAACAUUUGAUGUGUCCUCGCAGAUGGCAUACAAGGGACAAGAAGCUGGUAAUGAUGGAAAAAAUCUGUCGAGCAGAGAGAAGUUGAAGCAACUACUUAGGAUAACUAGAAUAAUGAGAGGAGAUUACCGUGUAUUGAUGCAUGUAAUGGCUACACUUUUUCUGACAUCCAUGGUGUAACCCAUCAACAUUACUCUAUAGCUGUUAAUGCAAGUUUUGGUUGCACUAAUGCAAAUUGUGGGAGGAGUGUUGACUUCUACCAAUCGAAGAAUAUAAGAAGACCCAGUGGUUAAAGCUUACUCAAUUUGUUGAAGUGGCGAAUCUGGAGACAGGUUUAAUUUGCACAAAUUGAGAAAACAUUUCAAUGCAAUUUUAUGUUCAACUGAGAGAAAGACAAUGUUUAGCAACAUUCGUUUUGGCAAAAAAAAA